rnacentral:rRNA from 1 species
UACGUAGGGGGCUAGCGUUGUCCGGAAUCAUUGGGCGUAAAGCGCGUGUAGGCGGUCCGGUAAGUCCGCUGUGAAAGUCGAGGGCUCAACCCUCGAAUGCCGGUGGAUACUGUCGGGCUUGAGUACGGGAGAGGCGAGUGGAAUUCCUGGUGUAGCGGUGAAAUGCGCAGAUAUCAGGAGGAACACCGAUUGCGAAGGCAGCUCGCUGGAACGUUACUGACGCUGAGAAGCGAAAGCAUGGGGGAGCGAACAGG